rnacentral:rRNA from 1 species
UACGGAAGGCAGCAGUGGGGAAUAUUGGACAAUGGGCGAAAGCCUGAUCCAGCCAUGCCGCAUGAGUGAAGAAGGCCUUCGGGUUGUAAAGCUCUUUUAGUGAGAAAGAUAAUGACGGUACUCACAGAAGAAGUCCUGGCUAACUCCGUGCCAGCAGCCGCGGUAAUACGGAGAGGGCUAGCGUUAUUCGGAAUUAUUGGGCGUAAAGAGCGCGUAGGCUGAUUAGUAAGUUAAAAGUGAAAUCCCAAAGCUUAACUUUGGAAUUGCUUUUUAAAACUGCUAAUCUAGAGAUUGAAAGAGGAUAGAGGAAUUCCUAGUGUAGAGGUGAAAUUCGUAAAUAUUAGGAGGAACACCAGUGGCGAAGGCGUCUAUCUGGUUCAAAUCUGACGCUGAGGCGCGAAGGGCGUGGGGAGCAAACAGGGAUUUAGAUACC